rnacentral:lncRNA from 1 species
CUUUUUAAAAUACUUAGACAAGGAUCAGUUGUUGUGGAUUCUGUCCUGAUAUUCAAUGACACAAACAAUGUUCCGGACACUGCAAACGUGACCUCCACGCUGGAAGAAGCAAUUGCUACCAACAGUUCAGAUGUUGCUGAACUUGCCAUCAAUGGCAGCAGUAUAGUUGCUGAACGUGUGGUGUCUGUAACCACACAGUCACCAGCAUCCCCAGCUCAGACCUCCAUGGCAUCAACGCUGACAGUGACAGAACCAACAUCAACACAGCCUUCUCCAGUCACAGCAGCACCUGUGCCUGAUCAACAGAUUAAAUUGGAAUUCAGGCUCCAACAGACCUUCACACCAAACCUGGCGAACCCCGCCUCGACAGAAUUUAAGAGCUUAGCUACAAAAGUUUCAAAAGUGUUGGACAGAAUCUACUCUGAUAAGUUUGGCUCCCGAUUCGUACGCACACAAAUCAAUGGCUUCAGACAAGGAUCAGUUGUUGUCGAUUCUGUCCUGAUAUUCAAUGACACAAACAAUGUUCCGGACACUGCAAACGUGACCUCCACGCUGGAAGAAGCCAUUGCUACCAACGGUUCAGAUGUUGCUGGACUUGCCAUCAAUGGCAGCAGUAUAGUUGCUGAACGUAAGCAUUUUGUUUUAAAAUAUUGUCUGGAACAUCAAAAUGAUACAGAAUAGAGUUCUAGCCACUC